rnacentral:lncRNA from 1 species
AUGUGGGCAGGAAACUGCACACAAGCAUUUUGGUGCUUUCUGGACAUGUACUGCACAUUAACUGACAACUUUUGCUGCAAUCUUGCUAACUAUCUUAACUAUUGUCUCACAGGACUUGGUCCGUCUUGCUGCCUUCACUUGUUGAAUACAGGACGCCAUCAACAUCCAGCUGCCACCUUGGACUGCAACACGACUGCAUUUAAUUUGUUAAGAUGUCACUUUGGAUUUUCAAUUAAAGUUCAGUAAAUCUUUUAUGUGUAAUACUUGAGUACUAGUAUUGUAUGAAGUUAAUGUGUUAGCUCCUUAACUUUUAAUAACUCUAGGAAAGGGAACAG